rnacentral:rRNA from 1 species
CCUACGGGGGGCAGCAGUGAGGAAUAUUGGUCAAUGGGCUUACGCCUGAACCAGCCAAGUCGCGUGAGGGAAGACUGCCCUAUGGGUUGUAAACCUCUUUUGUCAGGGAGCAACGCCGGCUACGUGUAGCCGGACUGAGAGUACCUGAAGAAAAAGCAUCGGCUAACUCCGUGCCAGCAGCCGCGGUAAUACGGAGGGGGCAAGCGUUAUCCGGAAUUACUGGGUGUAAAGGGAGCGUAGACGGUGAUGCAAGUCUGGAGUGAAAGGCGGGGGCCCAACCCCCGGACUGCUCUUGAAACGGUGUAACUUGAGUGCAGGAGAGGUAAGCGGAAUUCCUAGUGUAGCGGUGAAAUGCGUAGAUAUUAGGAGGAACACCAGUGGCGAAGGCGGCUUACUGGACUGUAACUGACGUUGAGGCUCGAAAGCGUGGGGAGCAAACAGGAUUAGAUACCCGAGUAGUC